GUGCUUGCCUCAGCAAUACAUAUACUAAAAUUGGACUGAUAUACAGAACAUUAUCAUGGAUGCUGCACAAAGAUGACACAAAUUUUUGAAGCAUUCUAUAUUUUA